UACGUAGGGUGCAAGCGUUAAUCGGAAUUACUGGGCGUAAAGCGUGCGCAGGCGGUUAUGUAAGACAGAUGUGAAAUGCCCGGGCUUAACCUGGGAACUGCAUUUGUGACUGCAUGGCUAGAGUUUGGCAGAGGGGGGGUAGAAUUCCACGUGUAGCAGUGAAAAUGCGCAGAUAUCAGGAGGGAACACCGGUGGGCGAAGGCGGGUCUCUGGGCCG
rnacentral:rRNA from 1 species